GAUUAGUAAUUCAAAGAACGAACCGAGCCGAUCUAAUCACUGCCCUUAUCCAAAACCAAACCGAGUUCUACUCGUGCUCGGAUUCAAACCCAUCAAACCGACCUAAUCACUGUCGUUAAAGCCAGCAAAGCACCCAUCUCGCCGCUCUUUCCCAUCUCGCGAGCAAUCUCGAAUUCUCGAUCUCGACCCUCCCCAACCCUAGAUUCCCCGAUCUCGCGCGAAACCCUAGUUUUCGCCAUCUCGCGCGCAACCCUAGCUUUCCAUCCUCUGCCAUGGCCUCAAUCGAGCCCAUGGCCCCGCGCGCGAACACCACCUGGUAUCUCGUCGACGACGACGACUUUGUCGAGGUCGCGAGGCGGCGGGACGCCGUCGCCAAGAGGGCCCGGGACGAGGACCUUCGCGAGGAGGCUGACGCCCGUGGAUGGUCCUCCGCGAUCCCCGACCGCAGCCUCCCCCUGCGCCGCCGCCGCGGUUCGGUUUCGCCCCCUUUCGCUCGCGCCACCACCUCCGUGGCUGUCGCCGAGGAGCAGAUCUGCUCCCGUGAAGUGGCGUCCUCGACCAUGCUCCACAGCGAAACUGAAGCCCAGGGUAUCGCCACGGUUUGUGCCGAAACUUAUUUCCUGACCGUCCUGUAAUGGAGGGUCGACUGCAAUUUUGUGUUUAACCCUAAGAUCUGUGGGCGAUUAGGCUCCCUAUUUAGUACAUGUUCUGGAUGAUUAGUCUCCCUACCUGUGCACGAUUUGGCUCUAUGCUUAGUACAUGUCGACGAGUAGUCUCUCUACUUAGUACCUGUGGACGAUUAGGGUUGCUGGUUAGUCCUAUAUCUGCCACAUAGGAAUUGGGAUUUGAAAGGGAGUUUUUUUAGAGCCUUAAUUGUUAAAAAAUUGGAUAUUGAUAAAAAAAAAUUGGACAAAAAACUCAAAAAAAGGACAAAAAACUUGGACAUUGCAUUUUCCAUAUAUCUUGAAAGUACUUUGCUAACUUGAACUAUAGCCAAGCUAGAAGGAUUGUUGGAUUGAACUUCACUUGUCAAAAGUUAUGUUCUUUCCAAACUGGUGGUCUAUUUUCAACGUAUGCUUUUAGCUUAAGUUUAGUUCGUAUAUAGCAUCUAGUAACAUGAAUAUGAAAUCGUUAACUAAUUAAUAAAUGGAUAUGAGUUUUCUUCACUUCUCAGCAGUUUUUAUGGGCUUAAAUUCAGGCUUUGACCAUGUCUCUCCAUUAGGCAAUUGUUUGAAUGCUGAAAAUACAUGGUUACUGCUUGUUGAAGCCAGGUGCGAUUGUUAAUAGUUGAACAAAAUAUACCUGAACAAUUUAAGUAUGCUGUAGCAGUUCUCAACUUAUGUUCACCUGCAAGUAAGAAGUUUGGUCUUUUUUUGCUGAAGCCAGGUGCGAUAGUUAAUAGUUGAACAAAAUAUACCUGAAUAACUGCUUUUGUUGCUUUGUGGCGGUCUUUCCGCUGAAAAUGAUAUUCUGUGUGCGUGCUUAAUCACUGUUUAUCUUUACAUUUGGCACUCGAUAUACAAUUUUAGAAUUAUGUAAAUUUUGCUGUUCUGCCAAGUUCAUUUGUUCUGUCUGGAUUUUGUGAAUGAUUCUCAUUUCUUGGGAACAAAGUUACAUUGCUCUGCUCCAAAUCUUUAAGUUGUUUAUCUUAAUUGAUUGGUCUGAUUGUAUUCUUUGCAGGAUCAUGUAAGUAUGCAUUCUUUAAGACACUCUGUCUACUCCAUCCUGUCUCGCAGCUUAUUUUGUUACUUUGUAGCAGUCAUUCUGUGGAAAUGCAUAUUUGAUGCUUCUGCCAAUCCCUGUUUAUCUUCAUGUUUGGCUCUCAUUUACGAUGUUCUCUUUAAUUACUCAAUUAUAUCUGCUAUGGCAAGUUUGUGCGUUAUGGUUGGGUGAUGUGUAUGAUUCUCAGUUUUUUCACUAUUAAAAGGGAGAAGCUGAGACCCCAAGAAGGAUCAUGCAGUGCUCUUCUGUGUGCUAAUGCUUUGAGACACCCUGUUUACUCCAACCCUGUCGUAGUACCAUUUGUUUGAAGAUGCGUUAGUUACCAAACAUGGUGAUCGGCUUUUGGUACAGAAGCCAUUGAAGAUUGAUCGUGGCUUCAGAGGAAUUCUCCAAGUUGCAAGAGAUUGGACACAAAGGAGGAGCCAGUUCAAGAGUUGCGGCUGCACCUCCAUGAUAAGACCAUAGGAGGCCAAUCUGGCCUGUGCCGAGGCAAGACUGUGGGCGGACGCGGGGGCCUGUGGCCUUCGCCAACUACUCCCCUAGAUUAGGUCUUUUUGGGUCGAGUUGUAUGGCGUGGUGUUUGUCCUUCUAUGGACUUGUACGUAUAACCUUCUUUUUCUGUCAAUGCAUCAAAAUGCAAGGCUUUUCUGUGUUU